UACGUAGGGGGCAAGCGUUGUCCGGAAUCAUUGGGCGUAAAGAGCGUGUAGGCGGCCCGAUAAGUCCGCUGUGAAAGUCCAGGGCUCAACCCUGGAAUGCCGGUGGAUACUGUGGAGCUAGAGUACGGAAGAGGCGAGUGGAAUUCCUGGUGUAGCGGUGGAAUGCGCAGAUAUCAGGAGGAACACCAAUAGCGAAGGCAGCUCGCUGGGACGUUACUGACACUGAGGCGCGAAAGCGUGGGGAGCGAACAGG
rnacentral:rRNA from 1 species